AACCAUGCACCGAAGCUGCGGCAGCGAACGUAUCACCCAAGACAACUUUGCACAGUUGACGAUUGACGGAGCGGAGCGACGUCAAAGCGUUUUACAACGUCGAGUUGGCUUAGGGAUACGUUCGUUGGGUAGGGGAGCGUUCUGUAAGCCUGCGAAGGUGGCCUGUGAGGGUUGCUGGAGGUAUCAGAAGUGCGAAUGCUGACAUAAGUAACGAUAAAGCGGGUGAAAAGCCCGCUCGCCGGAAGACCAAGGGUUCCUGUCCAACGUUAAUCGGGGCAGGGUGAGUCGACCCCUAAGGCGAGGCCGAAAGGCGUAGUCGAUGGGAAACGGGUUAAUAUUCCCGUACUUGGUGUUACUGCGAAGGGGGGACGGAGAAGGCUAUGUUGGCCGGGCGACGGUUGUCCCGGUUUAAGCGUGUAGGCUGGUUUUCCAGGCAAAUCCGGAAAAUCAAGGCUGAGGCGUGACGACGAGGCACUACGGUGCUGAAGCAACAAAUGCCCUGCUUCCAGGAAAAGCCUCUAAGCAUCAGGUAACAUCAAAUCGUACCCCAAACCGACACAGGUGGUCAGGUAGAGAAUACCAAGGCGCUUGAGAGAACUCGGGUGAAGGAACUAGGCAAAAUGGUGCCGUAACUUCGGGAGAAGGCACGCUGACACGUAGGUGAAGUGAUUUACUCAUGGAGCUGAAGUCAGUCGAAGAUACCAGCUGGCUGCAACUGUUUAUUAAAAACACAGCACUGUGCAAACACGAAAGUGGACGUAUACGGUGUGACGCCUGCCCGGUGCCGGAAGGUUAAUUGAUGGGGUCAGCGCAAGCGAAGCUCCUGAUCGAAGCCCCGGUAAACGGCGGCCGUAACUAUAACGGUCCUAAGGUAGCGAAAUUCCUUGUCGGGUAAGUUCCGACCUGCACGAAUGGCGUAAUGAUGGCCAGGCUGUCUCCACCCGAGACUCAGUGAAAUUGAACUCGCUGUGAAGAUGCAGUGUACCCGCGGCAAGACGGAAAGACCCCGUGAACCUUUACUAUAGCUUGACACUGAACAUUGAGCCUUGAUGUGUAGGAUAGGUGGGAGGCUUUGAAGUGUGGACGCCAGUCUGCAUGGAGCCAACCUUGAAAUACCACCCUUUAAUGUUU
rnacentral:rRNA from 1 species